CGGCGAGAGUUUGGUAGCAGCCGCUUGUCGUAGUCUCCCGAAGCCUCCUACUGCCACCCGACGCUGGUCCUCCGAUCCUUAAAGGUGUCCAAUCAAAGUGGCGUACCGAAAUGUCAGAAAUAGAAGAUCUGCAGAACGCAUCGAAACAGGAUGACACUCAAGAAGACACAGCGGAAACAGCAGAGAUCGACAAUGAAGAACCGAGCUCGAUAGAGGAAUCAGAUAGUUCCGAGUUAUCGGAAAAGUUGUCUAAGACGGAAUCAGAGGAGGAACGAGAAUCAAUUAAAGAGGAAGAACAAAAAGAGACGCCGAGUCACGAAAAGUCGCAAAAGGAAGAAACGCCAAAUUCAGAACUGGCGACCAUCACGAGGAGCGCGUCGUCGGACGACAGCAUGCCAGCGUCAAUGUCGGGGACCGCCGUGAAACAGGUGGAACCGGGCGAGCCGAGGAUACCGCCGGCGACCGCGGCCGGUGCCGAAGAUGCAACACAGCAACGUCACGUCAGGAGCGGUCCUAGCACGACAGUUGGUGAGUGGAAUUCAUUGCCGGUACUGGUAGAACGUCUGCGCGAGGCGGUCGAGCUGUCCUUGGCAGCGGGUCACCGACGAGGAGGCGGCGGCGUUGACGAACCGACGUCGACGUCACUCACCGAGCCUGUCGACAUCGAUCGAUCGCGCGCACGCCAUUCCAUGGAACAGGCGUUGCUCACCGGCGGCUGCGACCACGAUGAUCUCGAGUCGAAGAAGGACGAGCUCAAGUUCCUGGAGGAUCUGCUGCUGUCGGACAUCCAGACCGCGCUCUCCCGUCUGCGCGAGACGUUGGAGCGUACGGAUGUCGCGACGCUCGCGAAACACGGCGGCGUGUCGGACCCUACGAGCAAGCUGCAUCUCCUGCGUCUGGUGUCGAGUCUGUUGUCGCGGCUGCAAGUGCCGGAGGAGGGAGCGGGGGGCGGAGGCGGGACGACCCGGACGACCGACAUCGCGGUGCAAAGCGGCGGCGUGCCCGUCGGAAGAAGACGUCGCGCUGUCAGGCACACCAUCGGCGUUUCCGCCGAGGAAAUCGCUCACGCGAGGAAGCAGCUGGAGGAGAGCAGCGCGGACUUGGCGAGACUGAACGACCAAGUCUCGGGUCAACGGCGGGAGUUGUUACUCCCAGCGAAGCACAACGCGACGAACAGCAACGAGAGACAUGUGGAGGAAAUUCAUGACAAGUACACGAAGGACGCGAUUAAUCAGCGUCAGUCGUUGCGCGACAAGAACAAAGAUUCCCACGGGGAUGUCGGCGCGUACCGACUGCUAGCCCCGUCGCAAAUUGACGUCGCAAAUUACGCGGACCGGCCGAUCGCCGCGGAAACGGUGAACGAUGCGAAUACACAUCGAAGCCGACGCCGGGGCAGCGUCGACAGUUAUCAAGAGAAGGAGAGCGACGACGAGGAGACUGCGAUGAAAAGAGCGAACGAGGAGCAAAGUCGCGUGACGAAGCUUGCGGCGGCGCUUCGGCAGCGCGCAGAAUUUCUCAGUGCAAACAAAAACAACAACAACAACAACAACAAAUUCACGGUGAAGAAGUCCAAGAUCAAGCGCGCUAACACCAUCGACAUACCGAGUUAUCUCAAGCUGCAGGCCGGGAAUCUCGGUUACGACAAUCCCGGCUGCAUUCUGCUGCGACGACCUAUCAACGUGAGCGACAAGAUCACCUCGAACACGUCCAACCCCGCUGUGCCGCCCUCGUUUCAACCCAGAACGGAGAACGACAAGAAGUUCUUGGCGCUCAUCAACCGGAACAACGAGACGCAGGCGGUCAACACCGCGCCCGCUUUCGUCAAGUCCUUCGGCUACACGAAGAGGACGGACACAUCCGCGCACGAGAAUUGGAACAGCCGGUUCUCGAAUAUUAAGACGGCCUUCGACAAGCCGUCCGCCGUGAGCGAGGAGAGCAAGGCGUCUUCGAAGCCGCAGCCUUCCGCGAAACGUUCUCCGGGUUUUGCGCCGCAAACGUCCCCGAGCGCGACGCACAAGAGAGCACAGAUUGACGGCACCUCGCACAACAGCUUCCCGUUCGCGAACGCGAACGUCGCGAAGUCGGACGCGGGUUUCAGACACGCGCCUUCGUCGUUAUUCCGAAAAAUCGACAAGUCGCAGACUCCCAAGUCGCCGCCGAUCCAUCACUGGCAAAGGGAGAACGUGCCAGCCAACACGAAUACCUUGCGAGAGAAAGCCAGAAUUAUGUUCGAUCGAGAUAACGCUCAAUCUCAACCGCCGUCCAAGUUCAACGUGAGCAAAAAUUCGCAAAAGUCAGCCUUCCCUCGACCGCCGUGGCUCGAACACGACAAGAACGAGGGUAAAUCGAGCAACAUGGUCACCGAGAACGGACGAUUGGAUUAUCGGCUGUUCUGCAAGCAAUUCGCACCGUUCAUCGGCAAGAAUACCACUCCGGAGUCGAGGAAAUCGCAGAACAUCGAGGAAUCCCGCAAACGCAACCAGCACUCGAACGCGCAUUGUAAAAAUGUCGCGUCGCCGAGCGAGAAACUCGGCGCGACGAACGGAAGAGCUCCCUUCAAGAUAUUCCCCGCGCAGGAAUCGCGGAUCGAACACUAUUAUCCAAAUGAGCCGCGCCGCGAAGCCGAGGGAGCAAUUCGGGACAAACUUCACAGCAAAAAGGACACGUUCGAGCCCGCCGAGACGCGCGGUGACAAGAGCCCGUUCGACGUUGCAUUCGCGAGGAAUGCAGCCGCAUUCGACGCAACGCUCAGAGGUGGCUCCUCGUCCGUUCAGACGGCGGUUGUCAACGGCGAUGCUCAUCCGGAAGAGACGCGUGUGCUUCGCGUGGCUCCUAAAAUCUCGAAAGACCUGCGCAACAACGUGCCGAAAAUAGAACUCAGCGAACAGUGGCUGAUGCCUCGAGAUGAGCGCAGCGUCAAUCCGACAUCGGAAUCGAGUUAUCGCUCUGAGAAUCCAGGGCACUUGAUUCUAGAUCACAAUCGGAAUUAUCAUCCCGCGAGCACAAUAGACAUUGCUCCGAAUGAAACUUCGCCCUUCGCAAACAAGAAUGCGUGCAACCUCGUCAAGGAAGACGCCGCUUGUGUGCUAAAUCCGACGGAGAACGUCGUUCCUUUUCGAACGACUUCCGAUCAUCCGGCGGAAGAGCGGGAGAUUUUCCAAGUGAAGUCGCAAAAUGAAAAUUCUUUCUCGUACAAGCCAGCAAUCGAUAAUCGAUCGCAAAUAUAUUCGAAUUACUCCUCAGGCAUUAAACCGUUCGAGAGUGAAAUGUCAAAUACGUCGUGCGAAGUCGACAGGCAAGAUUUCCUGCGUGCGAAUGACGGCGCAUUGCCGGAGGAGCAAAAUAUUCAAAAUCAGGACAUCAGCGCGGACGCCGGCGUUGUCACGCGGUACACGUGUGCUAUAGCGACCGUCGCGUCCGCGGACAUUCCAGAAGCGCGAUCGGAAGGAAUCAGACCGGAAUCCAGGGAAUCGCUCUCCUCGUCUCCGUCGCAACUCGGAUCGUAUUCUAGAGCGACAAGCAGCGACGCGAGCGCGACCGAGAAUGAAAUACGCCGACACAACAUGCUGCAGCAGAGUCUCGUCCGUCGGCUGCAAAACGAGCGUACGAUGUUGAACGAUUAUCGCGACGCGCUUAUACCGAGCCAGCCCGGCAGCUUCAAUCAACCCUCGAAGUUUCAAUCACCGGAAACCCCGCCGAAAAGACUGGAGCCGCGGAAAUUGGAAUCGCCGAGGAGAUUCGAACCGCCGUCGAUCGUCACCGGUUUAUUGUCGGUAGCGCCGUCCUCGGCGUCCGGGAUGAACCGCGUCACCGCACUCAGAGGGCAAUACGAACAACCAGACGGCCAAGCGAAAUCCGUGCAAAAAGAACGCUCGCCGAUUCCAGGUGACGCGAUAGACUCGAGCGACGAGUAUCUAGUAUCCUGCACCAACAAGCCGUCCAGAUCCAUCGUCCUGUCGAAAUCCGAGUCGUGGCAUCAACUGGCGCUCUCCCGGAAUCAUCACUCUUCGCCGCGUCUGUCCGCGCAGGACACUUUACCUCCGCAACCGCCUCCGCCCGCAAGCACAUCUUACCUUCCGCCCAAGCCCAAGUCCAAAUCACCGUCGCCCUACAGAAUGAAGAAGCAGUACGAGGCGUCCUCGUCCUCGGACAGCGUAAAGAAAAUGGAGAGCAAGAUUCGCAGGUACUUUGACAAUCCGACAAACGACGGCGCCGCGGAAGCGAGGGAUUCCAAGGGCAGGCGUUUCUCGUCGCGCGACUCGCUCAAGAAUCACGGUCUCAUCGGUCUAUCCAGAAGUCGCACUAUGCCGGGGAUAUGCGACGAGAGCACGCUGCGUCUGGUGAUCCCGACAGCGCCGCAAAUUUCUGUGUCAAGUCUCAACACCGCCGACGUGGAUAAGGUGUUCGACGACAUCUUCGAGGAGGCCACUAAAGCCGAUGAUCAUCACUUCUAACCAGCCAAUUUUCCUCUCAAGUGUCAUAAGUCCGAGCGCGAUAUACCAACACGAGGCACUGAAUGCAAUAAAGUGAUGGUUUGUCUGAGACUGCCAAAAGUACUUCUUGUGUAAGCCGAUGACGCGAUGCUCUGCGCCGUGUUGAACAUUGUGAUAAAAAUGCUUUAUUACGAUAAAGUGUGAUUUUACUCGACAGCGUGGCCUGCAGUUGUAAUCUUGGAUGAUACGCCAUUCUCAUCGGUCUGAUUAGAAACCGCAUUUUUGAAGUACAGAAAUGUUUCGUGAUGCACCGAAACACAAAGUUAGCCAGCUCUCCACG
rnacentral:misc_RNA from 1 species